AAUGAACGUUGGCGGCGUGGAUUAGGCAUGCAAGUCGAGCGCUCAUAGCAAUAUGGGAGCGGCGAACGGCGUAGUAAUAUGUAGGAACGUACCCUCGGGGUCGGGGAUAGCCAGUGGGAAACUGGUGGGUAAUACCCGAUAAUCUCUGCGGAGCAAAGGUGUGAUUCCGCCUGAGGAGCGGCCUACACGAUAUUAGCUAGUUGGUAGGGUAAUGGCCUACCAAGGCUACGAUGUCGUAGGGGGUGUGAGAGCAUGGCCCCCACGACCGGAACUGAGAUACUGUCCGGACACCUACGGGUGGCUGCAGUCGAGAAUCUUCCGCAAUGGACGAAAGUCUGACGGAGCGACGCCGCGUGCGGGAUGAAGGCCCUCGGGUUGUAAACCGCUGUCAGAGGGGAUGAAAUCUUCGGAGGUACUCCUCCGAAGUUGACAGAGCCUCAAAGGAAGCACGGGCUAAGUACGUG
rnacentral:rRNA from 1 species